rnacentral:tRNA from 1 species
GCCCGCUUGGCAUAGUGGUAUUGCGUCGCACUCGUAAUGCGAAAGUCGGCGGUUCAAUUCCGCCAGCGGGCA